rfam:Canis lupus familiaris chromosome 16, whole genome shotgun sequence.
GGGGGGAGGCCGGAUCCUGGGCUGUGUCCCGGCGCCCUGUGCUCCGGAGCUUGCGCUGUUGGAUUCGCGCUCCCGGGGCCGCGCAGCCCCCU